CACUAAGAAGCUAAACCGGGUUAUAGCAUUAGCCUUUUAAGCUAAAAAUUGGUGUCCCCCAAUCACCCUUAGUGA
rnacentral:tRNA from 2 species